UACGUAGGGCGCAAGCGUUGUCCGGAAUUAUUGAGCGUAAAGAGCUCGUAGGCGGUUUGUCGCGUCGGCUGUGAAAUCCUGGGGCUUAACUCCGGGCCUGCAGUCGAUACGGGCAGACUUGAGUGUGGUAGGGGAGACUGGAAUUCCUGGUGUAGCGGUGAAAUGCGCAGAUAUCAGGAGGAACACCGGUGGCGAAGGCGGGUCUCUGGGCCAUUACUGACGCUGAGGAGCGAAAGCGUGGGGAGCGAACAGG
rnacentral:rRNA from 1 species